CAGGUGUGAAGGUGGCAGGCAGUGGCUACCCCACGAAACCUCACAUCUCUCCUGCAUCUGGUACCCAGAGCCAAACUCCAUGGACCUGCAGCCAAGCCGAGCUUAUCAGAACACCCACCCACCCCCCUGCCCCCCCGGUCCUUCAUGCUCAAUGUGAUGUCCUGCUAACCUACUCUCCACCCUUCUUGCCCGGAUGCCAUUCACUUGCUCUCAGCAUAGACACACUCUGCUGAGCCCCUGCUACACUUCAGGCAUGCAGCCUGGCCAAGAUGGACAAAUGAUCAAGGACACGAUAACGAGCACCCCCAAACACCAUCAGAGAGAUCUCAGCGUCCAGGAGCUGCCCUGCUCUUACAACGGGUGAUACAGCCUGAGAAAUAGGAAUUCCAAAGGCACAUCUGCUCUUCCUCACUUGCAGAUCUUGAAAGCAGG